GCCUUCACUUUACCACGGAUAUUCGUAAAUGUAACAGCAAAAUUAAUUAACCUUUGGAACUUUAUAAAUUAUUUAAAAUUCAUUUCAACACCGACUUUGAUUCAAUUUUCAAAAUUUAAAGAGAUUGUGUAAUUCUGAAAUGGGUUUGCUGAAACGUGCCAUGAGGAAGAGUAAACUGAAGCAUUGUCGAUUUUCUGGGUUCCAUACACGGCGGUUCCAUCAACGCCUGAUCCUAAUUUCUUUUUCAUCAAAAAUUGCAAAGCUAACCAAAAAUUCCCACUACUCACCGAUGGCAAGUGUAACAAAAAUCUAUAUUUUCGAAUGAGGUCCAGUUGCGAUGAUCGGUUUGGCAAUUUAAUAAGUCAUUGUUAUCUUUUGUUGUAAUGCCCCGCCAUGUAACCACAACAAAUGUUUAAUGUAAGAGUGUUCAACUAGGCUAA